rnacentral:tRNA from 1 species
GCCUGGCUGGCUCAGUCGGUAGAGUGUGUGUCUCUUGAUCAAAGGGUUGUGAGUUCAAGCCCCACGUUGGGUA